rnacentral:rRNA from 1 species
CCUACGUGAGGCAGCAGUGGGGAAUAUUGCACAAUGGGGGGAACCCUGAUGCAGCGACGCCGCGUGAGUGAAGAAGUAUUUCGGUAUGUAAAGCUCUAUCAGCAGGAACGAGACAAGACGGUACCUGACUAAGAAGCCCCGGCUAACUACGUGCCAGCAGCGGCGGUAAUACGGAGGGGGCAAGCGUUAUCCGGACUCACUGGGUGGAAAGUGAGAGUAGACGGCUGAGCAAGCCUGAAGUGAAAGGCUGGGGCCCAACCCGGGGACUGCAUUGGGAACGGUACGGCUGGAGUGCAGGAGAGGGAAGUGGAAUUCCUAGUGGAGCGGUGAAAUGCGUAGAUAUGAGGAGGAACACCAGUGGCGAAGGCAGCUUACUGGACUGUUACUGACGUUGAGGCUCGAAAGCGUGGGGAGCAAACAGGAUUAGAUACCCCAGUAGUC